rnacentral:rRNA from 1 species
GACGAACGCUGGCGGCGUGCUUAACACAUGCAAGUCGAGCGGAGCGGCGAACGGGUGAGUAACGCGUGAGUAACUGCCCCCUUCCCUGGGAUAACAGUUGGAAACGGCAGCUAAUACCGGAUAGUGGGGGAUGAUGCGCGUCCUAUCAGCUUGUUGGUGGGGUGGUGGCCUACCAAGGGGAGGACGGGUAGCCGGCCUGGGAGGGGGACCAGGCACAAUGGGCUGAGGUACGGACCAGAGGCCUACGGGGGGCAACGGGGGGGAAUAUUGCGCAAUGGGGGAACCCCUGUGACAGCAACGCCGCGUGCGGAAAGACGGCCUUGGGGUUGUAAACCGCUUUCAGCCAAGACGCGGUAGUGGCAGAAGAAGCACCGGCUAACUACGUGCCAGCCGCCGCGGUAAUUC